CGAGUUUGAAUUGAAAAUGAGAGAGAAUUUUGUUUUCAAAAAAUCAAAGUAAAAUUUGUUAUAUUUCUCGGUCGAAGUAAAUGGAAUAUAGUUUUGCAUCCAUUCUCAGGUAAAAGAGAAAAACCCUCAAAGAGAGAAGAGAGAAACCCUCGAAGAGAGAGAGAGAGAAUGGUUCUGAGCCUCGACAAAGAGAUCUGCCUUCGAUUUGUGAAUAGCGAAGCCACUCAACCUUACUUUCGCUCCAACGUAGCUAUCAUCAGAACAACCGAUUUCAAGGAUCUAAAAUCCUUGUUGUUCUUUAGUUUCUUAGGUACAAUCUACAUUCCAAGGCUCAUGUUUAUUGGGUUUACUUAUAGAUUUAAGUUUUCACUCGGUAGGGUUAGGGUUUAUUGACUCUUUGGUUUAUUUAGGGUUUGAUAUGCUAAUUGAACUAGGGUAUUGGAGAUUUGAUUGCCUAGAUGUGAUUAUGAUUAUUUUUUUUUUUUAUUUUGAUGAUUUGGUUUGGAAUGUGAUUAUAAAAUUGAGUUUCAUAUCACUGAAUAUUUAUUUGGACCAAAAUAAGAAUAUUGUCCAUUUCACUUGGAUGUAAGGAAAUGACUGAUCGAUUCGGAGUUGAACUGAAAACACUACACAUUAAGAGUAGGAUGAGAACCUUGAAGCCAAUUUAUGCAGAGGCUAAGAAGUUGUUAGGUACAAGUGGCUUUGUUUGGAAUGAAGCAAAAAAUCAAAUUCAAGCUGACCUUGAAGUUUGGAAGGAGUAUCUAUAGGUAAACAUAUAUUUAUGUAAGUCUUCAUUUAUAAAAAAAAUUGGUUAGUGAAGCAUGUAUUAAUUAUGAAUUGUACAAUGUAGACCAAUCCACUUGCAGCUAAUGUAUAUGUAUGAUGAAAUGCAAGUAGUAUUGGAAACUGACCAAGCAACAGGUGAAGAUGCUAGAGAAGGUAUUGAGUUGGCAAAUGAAGCAGAGAUUGAAGGAAUUGGUUGUGAUGAAACUGAUGCAGAUAUUGAUAAUGAUGCAUUAACACCAGUGUUUAUCAGUGAUGGGACCCAAUUAGUGCCUACACAGAGCAAGGCAACAUCUUCAACAAGUAUGAAGAAGAUGGCAAUAAGACAAAAUCUGAUGAUGAGUUUUUGAAUGCAAUUGUUACGAUGAACGAAACAAUGAACAAGAUUGCAAAUGCUCUCACAGUUCAAAGUAAGCAAGAAUUUCUCAAGGAGCUAUGGAAUGAGGUCAUGGAUUUGGACGGGUUUGAUCACGAAGAAUUAAUGAUGUGUUUGGCUACUUUGCUUGAAAUGAUAGGGAAAGCCAAAAUAUUUCUUGCCAGAGAUAAGCCUCGUAGGGUCAAAAUGGUCCAAUCCAUCAUCUCUAAGUUGCUUUAGGAAAUUGACUUGAUAGAGAGAUGAGAUACUUUUCCUAAUCUACACAGUUAAGCAGUGGGAGAAAUACAUUUGAUGGAGGAUCUAAAGCAGUGCAUAGUAUUUUUUGGGGCUAUCACAUGCAUAGAUACCCUAGCAUGUCUGAAUUGUUGAUUAUGGUUCUUAUCUGUCAUGUUUUGGUUAUGGUUCUUGAUAGAACAGAACAACUUUGGGUUAUGAAAAAACAAAUAUUAUAUGUUGAAAUCUUGUUUUUCUUAUGAUUAGUAAACUUGAUGACUCUGUAUCAGUGUGGAUGACUUUUGGUUUUGAUAAUUUUUUUGAGUAUUGGAUAUAAUUAUAUGUCUUCAAUUUGGUUUCUACAAAUAUGUUUAACUCAUUGAGCUCUAGCUCCAACAUUUCAGUAAGACAAACCUUCCUUUCGGAUAUUAUUCUUCUAGGACUUAUUCUUAUUUGACAGGUGAAGGAAAAUAUUCAAUUUUUCAUUUGCCCUCUACUGAUUUUGCUAUUGUCUGUUUAGAAUUUAAAAUCUUUUAACUUUCCAUGCGGGACAUCCACUGCUAAUGUAUCAAUUGGACAUUGGAUUAUUGGUACUCAUGAGGGGUUGGUGCUCUAAGAGGACAAAUUCUUCUGUGACAAGUGCUGCAGGUGCUCUUUGCUGCUUUGAUCCUUAUUUGUUGCAAAUACGCUGCUUGGAUACGCUGCUCUGUUCCACUUCAUUUCAGAAGCAUUCUGGAAAAAAAAGUGCAAAUACGCUGCUCUGUUCCAACGCUUGCUUCCUGCUGUGAGUGGUGUGAGUUGGUUGUUUUGAAUCCAGGUCCAGAAGCAACGUUUGCUUCAAAGCUGCUUGGAGCAAGACUGUUUUCCUUUACAAUCAUCUAUGAAGAACUGAAGACAGGGUUAACUUGACUUGGAUGGGGCUGAAGUCAAACAACUCAUGGAAGCUGCAAGAUAUAAGUGCAUUGAAAAAAGCUAGAUUUCUUGAUCUUUUAUUUUACAUGUCUGAAAUUCUUGGGUUGAUCAUUUCUUUCUUUUUCAGGCUGAUGUGGAUGGAAAUGGAACAAUCGAUUAUAUUGAAUUUAUUACUACAUACAUGUAUAGGCACAAGCUAGAAAGAGAUGAACAUCUAUAUAAAGCCUUCCAGCAUUUUGAUAAAGAUUAGAGCGGAUACAUUUGUGACAGGAUGCUUGGAAGCUCUAUAGUUCCUAUUCAAAAAGAAUAGUCGUCGUUGGCGUAAAGAGGAGAGAGAAAAUGGCUUACUUGGUGGAAGAUACCGUUGUAUUUGCAUUGAUGGUGGGAGUAACUGGUUAUUUUUAUUUUGUUAUUUUUUACCAAGAUGCCCGUUGUAUGUCCAGACAGCUUGUUAUUUUUUAUAUUUGUUUAAUGGUGUGAGUAGCUGAUUGUUUUUAUGUUGUUAUUUUUUACCAAGAUGGAAAUGCCAAACAUCCACAAAAAUUA